CCUACGGGAGGCAGCAGUAGGGAAUCUUCCGCAAUGGGCGAAAGCCUGACGGAGCAACGCCGCGUGAGUGAUGAAGGUCUUCGGAUCGUAAAACUCUGUUAUUAGGGAAGAACAAACGUGUAAGUAACUGUGCACGUCUUGACGGUACCUAAUCAGAAAGCCACGGCUAACUCCGUGCCAGCAGCCGCG
rnacentral:rRNA from 1 species